GGGCCCGUAGUUCAGUUGGCUAGAACGCAUCGCUGGCAGCGAUGAGGUCAGGAGUUCAAGUCUCCUCGGGUCCA
rfam:Parcubacteria bacterium GW2011_GWF2_38_76 TT05_C0018, whole genome shotgun sequence.